rnacentral:rRNA from 1 species
UACGGAGGGUGCAAGCGUUGUCCGGAAUCACUGGGCGUAUAGGGCGCGUAGGCGGCUCAUGAAGGCUGUGGUGAAAGUCCGGGGCUCAACCUCGGAUCGGCCGUGGCGACUCGUGGGCUGGAGCACUGUAGAGGCGGGUGGAAUUCCGGGUGUAGCGGUGGAAUGCGUAGAUAUCGGGAGGAACACCUGUGGCGAAAGCGGCUCACUGGACCAUUACUGACGCUGAUGCACGAAAGCUAGGGGAGCAAACAGG